rnacentral:pre_miRNA from 13 species
UGUGCAGCUGGGAUGGGGGCCGUUACACUGUAAGAGAGUGAGUAGCAGGUCUCACAGUGAACCGGUCUCUUUUCCUGCUGUGUC